AACGAUGUGGGAAGGCCCAGACAGCCAGGAUGUUGGCUUAGAAGCAGCCAUCAUUUAAAGAAAGCGUAAUAGCUCACUGGUCGAGUCGGCCUGCGCGGAAGAUGUAACGGGGCUAAACCAUGCACCGAAGCUGCGGCAGCGAACGUAUCACCCAAGACAACUUUACGGAGUUGACGAUUGACGGAGCGAAGCGACGUCAAAGCGUUCAUUAAAGUCGAGUUGGCUUAGGGAUACGUUCGUUGGGUAGGGGAGCGUUCUGUAAGCCUGUGAAGGUGUGUCGUGAGGCAUGCUGGAGGUAUCAGAAGUGCGAAUGCUGACAUAAGUAACGAUAAAGCGGGUGAAAAGCCCGCUCGCCGGAAGACCAAGGGUUCCUGUCCAACGUUAAUCGGGGCAGGGUGAGUCGACCCCUAAGGCGAGGCCGAAAGGCGUAGUCGAUGGGAAACGGGUUAAUAUUCCCGUACUUGGUGUUACUGCGAAGGGGGGACGGAGAAGGCUAUGUUGGCCGGGCGACGGUUGUCCCGGUUUAAGCGUGUAGGUGUGUGUUCCAGGUAAAUCCGGUUCACUUUAACACUGAGGCGUGACGACGAGGCACUACGGUGCUGAAGCAACAAAUGCCCUGCUUCCAGGAAAAGCCUCUAAGCAUCAGGUAACACGAAAUCGUACCCCAAACCGACACAGGUGGUCAGGUAGAGA
rnacentral:rRNA from 1 species